rnacentral:rRNA from 1 species
GUCUUGUUGUUUAAAUUAUAUAUCAAGUCUGACCUGCUCUAUGAUUGAUUUAAUUAAAUGGCCGCAGUAUUUUAACUGUGCAAAGGUAGCAUAAUCAUUUGUCUUUUAAUUGGAGGCUGGUAUGAAUGGUUUGACGAAAAAUAAACUUUCUUUGUUUAAUUAAUUAUUAAUUUAAUUUUUUAGUUAAAAAGCUUAAAUUUAUUUGUAGGACGAGAAGACCCUAUAGAAUUUUACUAAUUAUAUAUUAUAUUUAUUUUGAAUCUUCAAUUUUUAUUUAUUAUAUAGUUGGUUUUGUUGGGGCGACAUUGAAAUUUAAUUAACUUUCAAUUAUUCACUUUCAUAAAUUAAUGUAUUUUUGAUCUUUUAUUAAAGAUUAUAAGAAUAAAUUACCUUAGGGAUAACAGCGUAAUUCUUUCAGAGAGUUCAUAUCGAUGAAUUUUGGAUUUUGCGACCUCGAUGUUGGAUUAAGAUUAACUAUUGGUGCAGUAGCUAAUUAGUUAGGUCUGUUCGACCUAUAAAUUCUUACA